GAGGCUGGGCUUCGGGGGUGCGGGCAGGCGCGCGGGCGGGCUCUCGGGGGACGCGGGUGCGCGGGAGGACCUUCGCGGGGCGCCGGCUGGCCGGCCCUGAGCCGGUGGCCCGGAGCUAGGCUACCCGCCGUGCACCCGAAGGUGGCGGAACCCGCCCGGAGCAUCCGCCCGCGACCCGAGAUGUGGGGCUAGGUGGAGCAUUGUACCUUUUACCAUUUGAUGACUCAGUAGGAAGUAGAGAGCCUGCUCAAACACAGUGCUACAAGGAAGAAGCUAUAUAUGCUCAGAUUAUCAAGUAAGCUGGGUUUUGACAUGAGAAACAGAAAUGUUAUGAUUUAGCA